AACGCGAAGAACCUUACCUGGCCUUGACAUGCUGGUAGUAGAAGCCUGAAAGGGUGACGAUCCCGAGCAAUCGGGAAGCCAGCACAGGUGCUGCAUGGUUGUCGUCAGCUCGUGUCGUGAGAUGUUGGCUUAAGUGCCGCAACGAGCGCAACCCCUGUGUUUAGUUGCCUGCGAAAGCGGGAUCUCUAAACAGACUGCCUCGCUUUAAACGAGGAGGAAGGUGGGGAUGACGUCAAAUCAGUAUGGCCCUUACGGCCAGGGCUGCACACGUGCUACAAUGCAUGGUACAGAGGGACGCAAGACCGCGAGGUGGAGCAAAUCCCAUAAAACCAUGCCCAGUUCAGAUUGAAGGCUGCAACUCGCCUUCAUGAAGCCGGAAUCGCUAGUAAUGGCGCAUCAGCUACGGCGCCGUGAAUACGUUCCCGGGCCUUGUA
rnacentral:rRNA from 1 species